rfam:Acidovorax sp. KKS102, complete genome.
GCCAAGAGUAGAAGCGUUCAGCGGCCACCGCCCGGAAAUUGCUCUUGAA